AACACGCUCCUUAGAUCCAUCUCUGGAGGACGCUGUGCUCUGAGCAUAGCUCCUCAGCAGCUUACUGGCUGUACAGUUGGAGGUGCUUGAGUCAUUGGCGUGUGAGAACAGUCUACCUGUCUCCCCAGCCCAACUGCAACACUGGCAACCCUGUCAUCUACAGACGGGGAGCUCCCAGUGAUGCAAGCCUGGGGGACGGACACA
ensembl:snoRNA